UACGUAGGGGGCAAGCGUUGUCCGGAAUCAUUGGGCGUAAAGAGCGCGUAGGCGGCCCAGUAAGUCCGCUCUGAAAGUCAGGGGCUCAACCCCUGGAUGCGGGUGGAUGCUGCUGGGCUAGAGUCCGGAAGAGGUGAGAGGAAUUCCUGGUGUAGCGGUGAAAUGCGCAGAUAUCGAGAGGAACACCUGCGGCGAAGGCGGGUUGCUGGGCUGACACUGACGCUGAUGCGCGAAAGCUAGGGGAGCGAACGGG
rnacentral:rRNA from 1 species